UGAUAAAGAAAGGAAUUAAACCCGUGUAAAUAGGACUACAGCCUACCGCCUACCAUUCGGCCACUUUACCU
rnacentral:tRNA from 1 species